UACGAAGGGGGCUAGCGUUGCUCGGAAUUACUGGGCGUAAAGGGCGCGUAGGCGGAUACUUAAGUUAGAGGUGAAAGCCCAGGGCUCAACCCUGGAAUAGCCUUUAAUACUGGGUAUCUUGAGUUCGGGAGAGGUGAGUGGAAUGCCGAGUGUAGAGGUGAAAUUCGUAGAUAUUCGGCGGAACACCAGUGGCGAAGGCGACUCACUGGCCCGAUACUGACGCUGAGGCGCGAAAGCGUGGGGAGCGAACAGG
rnacentral:rRNA from 1 species